rnacentral:rRNA from 1 species
GACGAACGCUGGCGGCGUGCUUAACACAUGCAAGUCGAACGGUGAAGCACCUUCCUUUUGGUGGGUGUGGAUGAGUGGCGAACGGGUGAGUAACACGUGAGUAACCUGCCCCCUUCUUCUGGAUAACCGCAUGAAAGUGUGGCUAAUACGGGAUAUUCUGGGUCUGUCGCAUGGCGGGCCUGGGAAAGAUAUUGUUUCGGUGGGGGAUGGGCUCGCGGUCUAUCAGCUUGUUGGUGGGGUGAUGGCCUACCAAGGCGGUGCCGGGUAGCCGGCCUGAGAGGGUGGACGGUCACACUGGGACUGAGACACGGCCCAGACUCCUACGGGAGGCAGCAGUGGGGAAUAUUGCACAAUGGGCGCAAGCCUGAUGCAGCGACGCCGCGUGAGGGAUGGAGGCCUUCGGGUUGUAAACCUCUUUCGCCAGUGAAGCAGGCCUGUCCCUUUUGUGGGUGGGUUGACGGUAGCUGGAUAAGAAGCGCCGGCUAACUACGUG